rnacentral:rRNA from 1 species
GUAGGGAAUCUUCCACAAUGGACGCAAGUCUGAUGGAGCAACGCCGCGUGAGUGAAUGAAGGUUUUCGGAAUCGUAAAGCUCUGUUGUUGAUGAAGAAGGAUAGAGGCAGUAACUGGUCUUUAUUUGACGGUAAUCAACCAGAAAGUCACGGCUAACUACGUGCCAGCAGCCGCGGUAAUACGUAGGUGGCAAGCGUUGCCCGGAUUUAUUGGGCGUAAAGCGAGCGCAGGCGGAAUGAUAAGUCUGAUGUGAAAGCCCACGGCUCAACCGUGGAACUGCAUCGGAAACUGUCAUUCUUGAGUGCAGAAGAGGAGAGUGGAACUCCAUGUGUAGCGGUGGAAUGCGUAGAUAUAUGGAAGAACACCAGUGGCGGAGGCGGCUCUCUGGUCUGCAACUGACGCUGAGGCUCGAAAGCAUGGGUAGCGAACAGGAUUAGAUACCCUGGUAGUCCAUGCCGUAAACGAUGAGCGCUAGGUGUUGGGGACUUUCCGGUUCUCAGUGCCGCAGCAAACGCAUUAAGCGCUCCGCCUGGGGAGUACGACCGCAAGGUUGAAAC